rnacentral:rRNA from 1 species
AAUGAACGCUGGCGGCGCGCCUAAUACAUGCAAGUCGAGCGAGAAGACGUAGCAAUACGUUUGUAAAGCGGCGAACGGGUGAGGAAUACAUGGGUAACCUACCCUAGAGUGGGGAAUAACUAGCCGAAAGGUUAGCUAAUACCGCGUACGCUCCUUGGACUUCGGUUCAGGGAGGAAAGCGAUGCCGAGGGUAUCGCGCUCUUGGAUGGGCUCAUGUCCUAUCAGCUGUUGGUGAGGUAACGGCUCACCAAGGCUUCGACGGGUAGCUGGUCUGAGAGGACGAUCAGCCACACUGGCACUGCGACACGGGCCAGACUCCUACGGGAGGCAGCAGUAAGGAAUAUUGCGCAAUGGGCGAAAGCCUGACGCAGCGACGCCGCGUGGGGGAUGAAGGUCUUCGGAUUGUAAACCCCUUUCGGG